ACAGCAAUAUGAACUGUAUCAAUACCAAGGAGCUUUAUAUACUGACAGCAAUGUGAACUGUAUCAAUUUCAGGGUUUUUCACGCUAUUACUUCCCAAAAAGAACGGUACGGGUACUUUUCCCAAUUGGGCCAAACAAAUUGCUGUAAGGUGACCAAACAAGCAGCAAUACUAAGGAGCUUUAUAUACUGACAGCAAUGUGAACUGUAUCAAUUUCAGGGUUUUUCACGCUAUUACUUCCCUAUUAGAACGGUACGGGUACUUUUCCCAAUUGGGCCAAACAAAUUGCUGUAAGGUGACCAAACAAGCAGCAAUACUAAGGAGCUUUAUAUACUGACAUCAAUGUGAACUGUAUCAAUUUCAGGGUUUUUCACGCUAUUACUUCCCAAAUAGAACGGUACGGGUACUUUUCCCAAUUAGGCCAAACAAAUUGCUGUAAGGUGACCAAACAAGCAGCAAUACUUAGGAGCUUUAUAUACUGACAGCAAUGUGAACUGUAUCAAUUUCAGGGUUUUUCACGCUAUUACUUCCCAAAUAGAACGGUACAGGUACUUUUCCCAAUUGGGCCAAACAAAUUGCUGUAAGGUGACCAAACAAGCAGCAAUACUAAGGAGCUUUAUAUACUGACAGCAAUGUCCUUGACGUUUAAUUGUAUUCCGAACUUCAAAUUCUUGUUCACUGAACAAUAAACAUUAAAAAAAUA